GAAAAGGGUUUCUGCCGUGAGUGGCACACGGGGGAGGCUCGCGCUUUCCCCGUGCGGAAUCGAUAUCAAGAGAUUUCGGAAUAAAAAUUUAUUUUUAAAAAAAUUUGAAAAAAAAGGUAGUAAUUUUA